AGAGUUUGAUCCUGGCUCAGAAUGAACGCUGGCGGCGUGCUUAACACAUGCAAGUCGAACGAGAAAUCUGCAGCUUGCUGCGGAGAGUAAAGUGGCGCACGGGUGAGUAUCGCGUGGGUAAUCUACCCUUGAAUUUGGGAUAACACUACGAAAGUGGUGCUAAUACCGGAUGAAGUUAUUGUAUUUUAGGAUAUAAUAAUGAAAGGUGGCCUCUGAUUUAAGCUACUGUUUGAGGAUGAGCCUGCGUACCAUUAGCUAGUUGGUUGGGUAAGAGCCAACCAAGGCGACGAUGGUUAGCUGGUCUGAGAGGAUGGCCAGCCACACUGGAACUGACACACGGUCCAGACUCCUACGGGAGGCAGCAGUGAGGAAUUUUGCGCAAUGGGGGCAACCCUGACGCAGCAACGCCGCGUGAGUGAUGAAGGCUUUCGGGUCGUAAAGCUCUGUCGAACAGGAAGAAUAAUCUGUGGUGUAAUAUACUUCAGAGAUGACGGUACUGUUAGAGGAAGCACCGGCUAACUCCGUGCCAGCAGCCGCGGUAAUACGGGGGGUGCAAGCGUUAUUCGGAAUUAAUGGGCGUAAAGGGCGCGUAGGCGGUUAUGCAAGUCAGCUGUGAAAUCCCGUGGCUUAACCACGGAAGUGCAUAUGAUACUGCAUAACUUGAGUAUGGGAGAGGAAAGUGGAAUUCCUGGUGUAGAGGUGAAAUUCGUAGAUAUCAGGAGGAACACCGGUGGCGAAGGCGACUUUCUGGACCAAUACUGACGCUGAGGCGCGAAGGCGUGGGGAGCAAACAGGAUUAGAUACCCUGGUAGUCCACGCAGUAAACGUUGAACACUAGGUGUAGCGGGUAUUUACCCCUGCUGUGCCGAAGCUAACGCAUUAAGUGUUCCGCCUGGGGAGUACGGUCGCAAGAUUAAAACUCAAAGGAAUUGACGGGGGCCCGCACAAGCGGUGGAGCAUGUGGUUUAAUUCGACGCAACGCGAAGAACCUUACCUGGGUUUGACAUCCUUGGGAUUUAUACGAGAGUAUGAAGUGCCCCGUAAGGGGAGCCAAGAGACAGGUGCUGCAUGGCUGUCGUCAGCUCGUGUCGUGAGAUGUUGGGUUAAGUCCCGCAACGAGCGCAACCCUUGCCUUUAGUUACCAUCAAGUUAAGUUGGGGACUCUAAAGGUACUGCUUCGGUUAACGGGGAGGAAGGUGGGGAUGACGUCAAGUCCUCAUGGCCUUUAUGUCCAGGGCUACACACGUGCUACAAUGGGCUGUACAGAGAGUCGCGAGCUUGAGAGGGUGAGCAAAUCUCAGAAAGCAGUUCUCAGUUCGGAUUGGAGUCUGCAACUCGACUUCAUGAAGUUGGAAUCGCUAGUAAUCGCGGAUCAGCAUGCCGCGGUGAAUACGUUCCCGGGCCUUGUACACACCGCCCGUCACACCAUGAGAGUUGACUGUACCAGAAGUUGCUGGGCCAACAAUUUAUUGGGGCAUGCACCUAAGGUAUGGUUGAUGAUUGGGGUGAAGUCGGAACAAGGUA
rnacentral:rRNA from 1 species